rnacentral:rRNA from 1 species
AUUGAACGCUGGCGGCAUGCCUUACACAUGCAAGUCGAACGGCAGCAUGAUCUAGCUUGCUAGAUUGAUGGCGAGUGGCGAACGGGUGAGUAAUACAUCGGAACGUGCCCUGUAGUGGGGGAUAACUAGUCGAAAGAUUAGCUAAUACCGCAUACGACCUGAGGGUGAAAGUGGGGGACCGCAAGGCCUCAUGCUAUAGGAGCGGCCGAUGUCUGAUUAGCUAGUUGGUGAGGUAAAGGCUCACCAAGGCGACGAUCAGUAGCUGGUCUGAGAGGACGAUCAGCCACACUGGGACUGGGACACGGCCCAGACUCCUAAGGGAGGCAGCAGUGGGGAAUUUUAGACAAUGGGCGAAAGCCUGAUCCAGCAAUGCCGCGUGUGUGAAGAAGGCCUUCGGGUUGUAAAGCACUUUUGUCCGGAAAGAAAUGGCUCUGGUUAAUACCUGGGGUCGAUGACGGUACCGGAAGAAUAAGGACCGGCUAACUACGUG